rnacentral:rRNA from 1 species
UACAGAGGUCCCAAGCGUUGUUCGGAUUCAUUGGGCGUAAAGCGCGCGUAGGCGGUCUGUUAAGUGGGAUGUGAAAUCCCCGGGCUUAACCUGGGAAUUGCAUUUCAAACUGGCCGACUAGAGUACGGUAGAGGGAGGUAGAAUUUCCUGUGUAGCGGUGAAAUGCGUAGAUAUAGGAAGGAAUACCAGUGGCGAAGGCGGCCUCCUGGAUCGAUACUGACGCUGAGGCGCGAAAGCGUGGGGAGCAAACAGG